rnacentral:tRNA from 1 species
GCCUCCAUGGUCAAGCGGUCUAAGACGUCGCCCUCUCACGGCGAAAACUGGGGUUCGAGUCCCCAUGGAGGUG